rnacentral:lncRNA from 1 species
CAACAAGGGAGGAACCAACUGAAAGACCUUGUGCCUUGUAGAAUGUAAAGAUCAUUCCACCACCAAGAAGAAGGAUAUCACACUUCUCCAGAAGCGAUUCAAUAACUCCAAUUUUGGACGAGACCUUGGAUCCACCCACUAUGGCUGCAAAUGGUCUCUUUGGGUUUGAAACAGCGCCAACAAGGUAGUCCAGCUCCUGUAGUUGUAGAGAGAAAUAAACAAAUAAGCCCAUGGUACCAUUUGUAGAGACGAUGCUUUGACGCAGAAUUGGCAAUCAAAGGAAAGUAGAAUCUCUAUCAAUAAAUCACCUUCUGCAGAAGGAAACCAGCAACUGAAGGCUUCAAGAACUUAGUGACUCCUUCGGUAGAAGCAUGAGCUCUGUGAGCAGUUCCGAAAGCAUCAUUAACAUAGAGGUCAGCUAAUGCAGCAAGCUUCUUGGCAAACUCAGGAUCGUUCUUUUCUUCCUCCUUGUAAAACCUGACGUUCUCAAGAAGCAAAACUCCACCUUCAGGA